UGGGGAAUAUUGCACAAUGGGCGAAAGCCUGAUGCAGCAACGCCGCGUGAGUGAUGAAGGUCUUCGGAUUGUAAAGCUCUGUCUUUUGGGACGAUAAUGACGGUACCAAAGGAGGAAGCCACGGCUAACUACGUGCCAGCAGCCGCGGUAAUACGUAGGUGGCGAGCGUUGUCCGGAUUUACUGGGCGUAAAGGGUGCGUAGGCGGAUGUUUAAGUGAGAUGCGAAAUACCCGGGCUUAACUUGGGUGCUGCAUUUCAAACUGGAUAUCUAGAGUGCAGGAGAGGAGAAUGGAAUUCCUAGUGUAGCGGUGAAAUGCGUAGAGAUUAGGAAGAACACCAGUGGCGAAGGCGAUUCUCUGGACUGUAACUGACGCUGAGGCACGAAAGCGUGGGUAGCAAACAGGAUUAGAUACCCUGGUAGUCCACGCCGUAAAACGAUGAGUACUAGGUGUAGGAGGUAUCGACCCCUUCUGUGCCGCAGUAAACACAUUAAGUACUCCGCCUGGGAAGUACGAUCGCAAGAUUAAAAC
rnacentral:rRNA from 1 species